GAAUCAGGUGUACAAAGGAGCUGAGGGAGAGGGAAGCAAUUGCUGGAAAGGAGCCUGGGAGUAAACGUGGAGGGUUGUUGGCUGUGGGUGGGAGAAGUAUGAAACAGGUUUUUUGUGGGAGGAGGGAGUGUUAUGGAGUUGGGGAGCCUCUCCCAUGCAGACUCUGGCUGACCUCUUAGCCUCUACCAUUCAGUCAGGCACAU